GUGAGCUGGACUGGCAGGAAAAAUACUAAAGUUGUUCCUUGAGGCUGUGACAUUGUACUUCCAUUAAAAAUAACCGAUGCUGUGUUUUUCCACCAGAAGCAAUGGGAGAUUUUGCUGAGGUUGUCCAACUUUAUGGGAAAGAGAGAAUCACAACCUGAUAAUUAAAAAGAGAGCAAGGCAGAGGGGUAGUGUUCUGAAGCAAGCGGACUGAGCCAACUGUUGCCAAAUUUGAUCACAAGUCGCAUUCACCAUUGAGCCAAACUCCCAGGCAGAUGCCAGAGGGUAUGUGGCCAUGGAGUGCUGUGUGUUCAUCCAGGGAAUGGUCAGAUUGCCUCUGUGAAACCCCUGUGUCCUAUUUUAAGGCAGUGGUGUCCUGGUUUUGUGUAAGUUUUCUACAGAAAGUGAGUUUCUCUGUCAGUAAGUGGGAUUCGUGCUAUCCCUUGCUUCAUACAAACAAGAUAAGCAGUGGCCUGGGAUUUCUGAACCUCCUGUAAAUGGAAACUCAUGUCCCUCUCCUGUGCUAAGCAACAUGGUCUGGAUGACAAUCUCCUCUUGUCUGAGCAACCUUAACCCUGUAGUGCCUGGUCUGUGGAGCACACAGGGACCCUGUAGGUGGGCCCUGGGAUGGUUACAGGCUUCAUUAGCCACUGGAAGGAAUACGAUGAUAUGCAGGAAAAGGACCCUGUGAACUCAGCAAGCCACAAGUGAAGCCUCUGAGAGCACUCUGGUCUUGGUUAAAGGCUGCAAAAUGUACAACUAUGAACAAAGCACAGUCUCUACUUGGACAGGCUGAGUAAGUGGAUGUUUAGACAUAAGAAUCUGGAGGAACUAACAGAGCUGCUGAGUGAUGGAGAAGCUUCUGAAGCAGACCAAGGCACGGGAGCUUUGCCCAGUCCCUACACAGGUCACUGUGCAGGACACCAGUGUGGCAGGAGCACGUCCCUGGCCCUGGGCCUGUCUUCAUGGACCAAAUGGUAAAAUUCCUAGGAGCAGGAUGCAAACCCAGUGAACUUCUGAAGACAUUUCCUCACACAGUGUCCUGGACCAAGAGUCACUUUCAACUUAAAAAACUGAAGAACAACUGGUUGAUGCAGCAAUUCAUCUCUCAUGUGGUCCAUGUAGCUUCUUUUCACUCCUUCUGGA